rnacentral:rRNA from 1 species
UACGUAGGGCGCAAGCGUUGUCCGGAAUUAUUGGGCGUAAAGAGCUCGUAGGCGGCUUGUCACGUCGGGUGUGAAAGCCCCGGGGCUUAACCCCGGGGUCUGCAUUCGAUACGGGCUAGCUAGAGUGUGGUAGGGGAGAUCGGAAUUCCUGGUGUAGCGGUGAAAUGCGCAGAUAUCAGGAGGAACACCGGUGGCGAAGGCGGAUCUCUGGGCCAUUACUGACGCUGAGGAGCGAAAGCGUGGGGAGCGAACAGG